rnacentral:rRNA from 1 species
UACGUAGGGGGCUAGCGUUGUCCGGAAUCAUUGGGCGUAAAGUGCGUGUAGGCGGUCCGGUAAGUCCGCUGUGAAAGUCGGGGGCUCAACCCUCGAAUGCCGGUGGAUACUGUCGGGCUAGAGUGCGGAAGAGGCGAGUGGAAUUCCUGGUGUAGCGGUGAAAUGCGCAGAUAUCAGGAGGAACACCUAUUGCGAAGGCAGCUCGCUGGGACGUAACUGACGCUGAGACGCGAAAGCGUGGGGAGCAAACAGG